rnacentral:tRNA from 2 species
UAUUUUAAUAGCUUAUUUAGAGUAUAAUGUUGAAGAUAUUAGUGUAGAUUUAUCUUUAAAAUAU